GACGAACGCUGGCGGCGUGCUUAACACAUGCAAGUCGAACGGAAAGGCCCUGCUUUUGUGGGGUGCUCGAGUGGCGAACGGGUGAGUAACACGUGAGUAACCUGCCCUUGACUUUGGGAUAACUUCAGGAAACUGGGGCUAAUACCGGAUAGGAGCUCCUGCUGCAUGGUGGGGGUUGGAUAGUUUCGGCGGUUGGGGAUGGACUCGCGGCUUAUCAGCUUGUUGGUGGGGUAUUGGCUUACCAAGGCUUUGACGGGUAGCCGGCCUGAGAGGGUGACCGGCCACAUUGGGACUGAGAGACGGCCCAGACUCCUACGGGAGGCAGAAGUGGGGAAUAUUGCACAAUGGGCGGAAGCCUGAUGCAGCAACGCCGCGUGCGGGAUGACGGCCUUCGGGUUGUAAACCGCUUUCGCCUGUGACGAAGCGUGAGUGACGGUAAUGGGUAAAGAAGCACCGGCUAACUACGUG
rnacentral:rRNA from 1 species